rnacentral:rRNA from 1 species
AUGCAGCUCUGGACGCUUGAGGAUGUCGUGGAGGUCCUUGGAGACAAGGUGAUCGUCGACCACCUUGACAGCCGGACCUUUGAGCGCGCCGACACUAAGCUGUUCGCGUGCUGGGUCUGGGUCUCGAACCUCUCCUUCAUCCCGACCAAGAGGACAAUCUGGAAGCAUGCGAGGGGGGCGGGCCGUGUCGAAGAGAUGCACGGCUACUCGCCACCGAGCCGCGCGGUAGCCCCUCCGUUGGAGCUGCUGCAGUACGAUCUGCUGCUGCACGUGGAUCACGCAGAGGACUAG